UUUCUUGCGACCCUCAAGGACAGUGGAUUAUGGGCUUUGCCAAUAAAUCAUACCUAGUUACCAGUGUUUAGACAUAACUUCUUGCACUACUUACGGGCUUGAAAAUUGUUGUACACUAUCACCUCACACCCAUCGUCACUGAGACUGAUGCCCAAGAAAUCAUAGGUAUGGAUAGACCACCUAUCCAACGUCUAUAAAGAGCAAAAUAGUAUUGCAGAUAAUUUAGUCAAGUAUAGAGCCACGCAUGCAGUUAGGAACAAUUGUCAACUUUUUGCAAACCCACCUCUUUCUGUCGAGCCACUCUACCAGAAAGAUCAAGCAGGAACAACGUAGCAAAGGCUCAUUAACCAAACCAAAUAGUUCUCUACCAGUGUUCUAAUACAACUGAUCUAUGAUCUAUCUUGUUUUUGUAAUAGUAAUAUUUCGUCUCGUACUGAACCCCGUGUUGGGCUACCUGUAGUAACUCCUAAUAUCACUAGCUUAGUUGCUUCGAUGCCUAUGAUGCAUCUCGCUCUCUGUAAUAAAGUUACUGUUUAAUUUCUAUUAAUAUAACUUCUUCCUUAUAACCAAAAAAACCAUCGUUCUUAAGCUAGCUGUCGCUCCUCCUUUCGUCCUCCCAAUAAUUUCUACUUUUUUUUCCUUAUGUUCUCCUCGUUGCUUUUUCUAUGUUAAUGUUUCACUAUUGCAGCAAUAUGCCUAUUGGAAGCCAUGAG
rnacentral:lncRNA from 1 species